UAAAGGUACCCGUACCGCAAACCGACACAGGUGGGUGAGGAGAGUAUCCUAAGGCCAGCGAGAGAACUGUUGUUAAGGAACUCGGCAAAAUGACCCCGUAACGUAGGGAUAAGGGGUGCCACCAUCCGGUGGCCGCAGAGAAUAGGCCCAAGCGACUGUUUACCAAAAACAUAGGUUUCUGCUAAGUCGCAAGACGAUGUAUAGGAGCUGACGCCUGCCCGGUGCUGGAA
rnacentral:rRNA from 1 species